UCAAGGACUACUGGGAAGGUAGGAGUGGUUGCCUUUCUCCUGAAGCUCUUUCCCUUCGUUUCCCUCAUGGUGCCCUGACCAUUUGCUACACAUGAAACGAGCCUAAAUAUUAGGGCUUGCUUUUCUGUCAGAGGUGUCAUCUGUGCCUUUCCUAGUGUUCAUCUGACAAUGCCUCUACAUUUGACAUAAACUCAUACUCAGGUGGCACUAAACCAGGAGGCAUUUCUCCCAGUAAUACAUCAUCAUUAGUGUUAGGCAAUUAUGUUAUAGAAAAGGUCCCAUCACUACCCCAAAAUCCUGCCACCUAUGUCCACCCAUCAGCUACUCCCACAGAAUUUUUUAGAUUAUAGAAUUGUUGGCUGUUAACUAAUUUGCUCAAAGUUCUUGUAGAGGAUUGCAAAUUUUAGUCUGUUUUUGUAAUGGGAUAAUAUUGAUGGCUUUAUGACCUCAGAGUUUAAAAUUCACAUGGAAUUGAUUUUCUUGUCAUUAGAAGGUAAUGCUUGAACAUUUGAUUUUUCUAUUCUGUGAUACCUGGGUGUCAUACUGUCUAAUGGCCUUUGGUCCCAAUUGUGAAAUUUUAUAUGAGCUCAUUCAUUCUCUACAAACCUGCCCCCUUUGGGUCUUGGUGCCUAUGUAUCAUUGUCUGGUCUCUAGUUGGUGGAAUUGCCCUUUUUUGUACUGCCACUUCUCAACAUUUUUGAAGUUUGACAUAAUGUUGCUUCAUUCCAGUUUUUUUUUUUUUUAGUUCUGUAAUUUGUUGACUGUAUUUAACUAUGUGAGCUUUUUUUUUUCUGUGAUGUUUACUGUAUUGUAAAGCACCUUAAUCAUGUGAUGGGUGCUCUAUAAAUCAAUAAAUGAUGACUUAGAGGCUGUAUUAUGAGCUAUUUUGGUUUUAGGUUUCAGGUCUCAAGCAAGUUGUGGGAUGCUUUGUAUAGAAACAGCAUAUAAUACCAAAUGAUACACACUCAGAAACUUUGAUGGAUCCAUAAGCUUUAUUUAAAGAAGGAAUUUGAAAGCAAGAGUUAACUUGACUUCCAGUCUGAUAAGAUGCUCUUUAAAUUUCCAGUGCAUAGUCAAACAUCAUUUUAUUGUUUUAUCAGAGUUUCUGUUCAUGGUGACUUAGAGGUUUGAAAUGAACAUUUGGCAGAACAAUAUUGGGGAUCUGUCUUGCUUAAACUAGUCUGGUUCUGCCUUAGAGAUCAGCUAAUUCAUGAGGAACCUAGACUCAGAUGGGAACUGGAUGAAACCACCUCCCCUCUAAACAAAUUGGCAUCCCUGCCAAGUGUGAUUUGACUAACACUUUCUCUUAAAGAUAAUAGUAUCUACUUGUCUUGAGUUCUCAGAUAGUUCAUAUGCAUUUAGUGGUAGAAACUGAUAACUAACUUAAUAUAUUGAUGAUUAUGCACAUCUAUAAGUUUCUAGUAGCUGUUUGGCCUCUUCCUUAUAAACUGGAAGACUAUGCAGCCAGAUAUCUUAGAGCUAAAUUAGAAACAAGAAACUUUAACUCUGAUAAAUAUAUUUGGAAUAAAAUUGCUAUAGAAGG
rnacentral:lncRNA from 1 species